UAGGGAAUCUUCGGCAAUGGACGAAAGUCUGACCGAGCAACGCCGCGUGAGUGAAGAAGGUUUUCGGAUCGUAAAACUCUGUUGUUAGAGAAGAACAAGGACGUUAGUAACUGAACGUCCCCUGACGGUAUCUAACCAGAAAGCCACGGCUAACUACGUGCCAGCAGCCGCGGUAAUACGUAGGUGGCAAGCGUUGUCCGGAUUUAUUGGGCGUAAAGCGAGCGCAGGCGGUUUCUUAAGUCUGAUGUGAAAGCCCCCGGCUCAACCGGGGAGGGUCAUUGGAAACUGGGAGACUUGAGUGCAGAAGAGGAGAGUGGAAUUCCAUGUGGAGCGGUGAAAUGCGUAGAUAUAUGGAGGAACACCAGUGGCGAAGGCGGCUCUCUGGUCUGUAACUGACGCUGAGGCGCGAAAGCGUGGGGAGCAAACAGG
rnacentral:rRNA from 1 species